rnacentral:rRNA from 1 species
UGAGGAAUUUUCCGCAAUGGGCGCAAGCCUGACGGAGCGACGCCGCGUGAGGGACGAAGGCCUUCGGGUUGUAAACCUCUUUUGCAAGGGAAAAAGGCGCAAGCUUGAUGGUACUUUGCGAAUAAGCCCCGGCUAACUACGUGCCAGCAGCCGCGGUAAUACGUAGGGGGCGAGCGUUGUCCGGAAUUACUGGGCGUAAAGGGCGUGUAGGCGGUUGAACAAGUCUGGUGUGAAAUCCCAAGGCUUAACUUUGGGACUGCGCUGGAAACUGUUCGACUAGAGUGUCGGAGGGGCAACUGGAAUUCACGGUGUAACGGUGAAAUGUGUAGAUAUCGUGAGGAACAUCUGUGGCGAAGGCGGGUUGCUGGCCGGAUACUGACGCUGAUACGCGAAAGCGUGGGUAGCAAACAGG